rnacentral:lncRNA from 1 species
GCAAAGUCAAAAGAAGUUGUAAGUUGAACCAGGCAUGGUGGUGUAGGCCUGUAAUCCUAGCAACUGAGGAGGUUGAGGCCAGAGGAUCAUAAGUUCAAGGCCAUGCUCAGCAACUCAGCUAAGCCCUCAAUAACUUAGUGAGACCCUGUCUCAAAAUAAAAAAUAAAAAGGGCAAGUUUUAAGUAGAACCAUUGUAAAUAAGGGACUGUUUGUAGUGUUAACCAGGGAAGCUCACCUGAACCUUGGUAUCUAAAGUUCUGUGGAGGAUCAGUUCCACUGGCAAGGAAUAUCUUGCAUGGGUGCUCUCUCAUCCAGUGAGGAGGCCCACAGAACAGGGUAGAUGAGAGUGUGGCUGUGGAGUCAAUAUUCGAGACCUUCGGAGACCAAGCAGGAAGCAGGUCUGAUUUUAUUGCACAGUUUCCAUAUAUACUCAGGCAGUAGCUAAGCAGAUUACAGGCAGCCACCAGUACAAUUUCUGCUAACUGUCCUUGCAGCGACCAAUCAAGAAGUGGGCCAUGGAGCAAGCACAGGGAUUACAACACAUGGCCUCACACCCAGGGCUGGGCCUGCCACUCAGACGCCCUUAACAUAUGCCAUGUAUGCGGUACUCCAUGCAUUUGUCCCUACAAUAUCUUUAUGGAUAAAUUUAGAUAUUCAGUCCUCAGUGUCCACUAUAAAUCAUUGUUGGUGUGGACUACCUGGAUGGCCUAAGGCCACAGGGGAAUCAUGACACAGUUUCUAUUUUCCAGGGUCUUAGAGGUUCUCUCCUAGGAGCUGGGCAAGAGCAAGUCUUCAUAGAAUGUUUACGGUCUGCACAGCUCACACCUGCCAAGUCAACCCUUCACUGCACAUCCACUGCCCCUCUUGACACCCCAAACACCUGCUGUUUCAGGCUCUGUUGUGUUUACACAGGAUCCUCCCUGACCUGGAUGACCUCCCCUCCCUACCCAGCUCCUGGCUGGCCCUGACAACCCUGAUUCUUUCAACACUCCCUGGAACCCAGGCCAGGGUAAGAGCCUCUUCCUUGUUCCUGUGACAUGUGCCCCAGCCCUGUCCCCACCUGGAACCUGGUCCUGAAGCUCACAUUUGACAUAUCUCUUGACCACCUUGAUGGCAGGAGCCAUGGCUUAGCUCACAACUCUGGCCCUCGUAGUCCUUAUUGACAAGAUGGACCUACCCUGAAGAGUUUGCUUUCAGGAGUGAAUAAUAAUCUGUCAGAAGCAUGUAGAACAGGGUUGGAUCAGCAUGUGUGCACCACAGGAAUAGAUCCUGGCUCCUAUAUUGUUGGAAAACUG